rnacentral:tRNA from 3 species
GGACCCAUAGCUCAGUUGGUAGAGCUACCGGCUCAUAACCGGCAGGUCGGAGGUUCGAGUCCUUCUGGGUCCACCA